UACGUAGGGUGCAAGCGUUAAUCGGAAUUACUGGGCGUAAAGCGCACGUAGGCGGAUUGGUCAGUUAGGGGUGAAAUCCCAGGGCUCAACCCUGGAACUGCCUUUAAUACUGCCAAUCUAGAGUUCGAGAGAGGUGAGUGGAAUUCCGAGUGUAGAGGUGAAAUUCGUAGAUAUUCGGAGGAACACCAGUGGCGAAGGCGGCUCACUGGCUCGACACUGACGCUGAGGUGCGAAAGCGUGGGGAGCAAACAGG
rnacentral:rRNA from 1 species